UCAAGGCGUCGUUAUGCGCCAAAAUUCUCUCGAAUUCAGUAUCUUCUCUUACAUGGGUUUUGACAAUACCAGUUCCAAUUCCUCCAAUUUUACUGAACCAUUUAAUUUCAUCUUGUCUUCUUUGCUGGGUUUUGUUUAAUUUACGUGUUUUUGGAGCUUUUUAAUUUUUUAUUUUUUGAAAUCCCAUUUGAUAAUUUGCCGAUAUCUUAAACCUGGGCCUGAGUUUUGUACAAUAGUCUAUUUAUUUUCUAGGUGAAUUUGCACUGGGGAUCUGCACUUAGAUAACUUGAAGAAACCUCAUUUGAUACUUUCUCAAACAGUUUAGAUAUGCCAAAUCCCUUUCCUUAGGCCAUUUUGAAGAUUACCCAUUUUACUAGUUUGCUUUGGAAUGGCGGAUUCCAUAGCAAAUCCGGAUAUUUCGGAGGAGACAUCGCCUGAUAUGCUGAAGAAUACCCCGUCGAACAUUGCGAGAUUGGAGGAUGUUAUAGAGCAUAGCAAGGGCCGCCAGAAGUACCUGGCUCAGACUAGGAGUCCCUCUGAUGGA
rnacentral:misc_RNA from 1 species